UACGUAGGAGGCAAGCGUUGUCCGGAAUUACUGGGCGUAAAGCGCGUGUAGGUGGUGGGACAAGUCUGCUGUGAAAGCGCCUGGCUUAACCGGGCGAGGUCGGCGGAAACUGUCGCACUCGAGGACGGUAGAGGGGGGUGGAAUUCCCGGUGUAGUGGUGAAAUGCGUAGAGAUCGGGAGGAACACCUGUGGCGAAGGCGGCCCCCUGGGCCGGCCCUGACACUGAGACGCGAAGGCGUGGGGGAGCGAACGGG
rnacentral:rRNA from 1 species